rnacentral:rRNA from 1 species
AUGUUCUCGUCGCAGUCACUCAGCCGCGUCAACAACAUCCGCACAACGCUGAUCAAUGCGCAGAAGGGCAAUCAAUCAGUGGCCUCCUUCUUCGCCGCCAUGAGAGGUCUCGCCGAUGAACUCGCCGCGGCGGGAAAAAAACCCAUCCAGGACGACGAGCUCAUGUCCUACAUCAUCCACGGGCUGGACCAAGAUUAUCAGCCCCUCGUCUCUGCACUGGAUGCUCGCGUCACCCCAGUAACCCUUGAUGAAAUUUUUGCUAUGCUCAGUAACUUUGAUCAACGCAUGGCGCAGUACCAAGGCUCUGGUGGUGGCUUCAAAUCGUUGGCCAACUCUGCGUUCAGAGGCCGUGGUGGUGGCUCUCGCUCGCGUUCAUCUCCCCGUGGCAAGGGGAGGUUCGGCUCCGGUGGUGGUAGCUACUCCAACAACAACUCACGCGGCGGCGGCCGCUCUGGCUCCAAAGGGCGUCGCGGUGGUGGCAGUGGUGGCUCCAACAGAUCCCGCUCGGACUUGCCUCGCUGCCAAAUCUGUGGCAAGCCCGGCCACACGGCGAAGGAC